UGUACGUAGAGGUAGAACUGUAGAAGACCUUCAAGUGGAUUUAUCUUCAGGAAAUCAGGAAUUCUAUAUUGUAUAUUUGGGUGAUUCACCAGUUUUUAAGGAUUCCAUUGUUGAUUCACAUAUCAAUCUUCUGCCAGAUGUUGUUGGAAGGUGCAUGCAUUUUCUUAUCACCCUGGAAUUAUUACCUCGUGCACUUUUAAUUUGUCAGACAAUCCAAGAUGUUAAUAUUAAUUUGAUGAUGAUCAUAAAACGGCGAGCUUGCUGCAAAGGAUUCGAUCGUACACAGUUACGUCAACAACUUUAAUGCAUUCGCCGCAAAGUUAUCACCUGACGAAGCUAAGCAACUAGAAAGUUCGAGAGGUCUUGUUUCGGUGUUUCCUAAUCAACAAAGAAAACUUCAUACAACAAAAACAUGGGAUUUCUUGGGAUUUCCUCAAAAUGUUAAAAGAAAAGCGAAACUGGAGAGCAACUUAGUUGCGGGCUUAAUAGAUACAGGGAUUACACCGGUAUCUGAGAGCUUUAAUGACAAAGGGUUUGGUGCUCCACCAGCUAAAUGGAAGGGAUCUUGUUGCCCUUAUGCCAAUUUUUCUUGCAACAACGUUACUUGGUCUUAUCAACACUUGUGACACCACAAGUGCUGCUGACAUGGAUUAGAAGAUCAAAAUUCAAGACU